rnacentral:rRNA from 1 species
UACGUAGGGGGCAAGCGUUGUCCGGAUUUAUUGGGCGUAAAGAGCGUGUAGGCGGUUUGGUAGGUCCGCUGUGAAAACUCGAGGCUCAACCUCGAGACGCCGGUGGAAACCAUCAGACUAGAGUCCGGAAGAGGAGAGUGGAAUUCCUGGUGUAGCGGUGAAAUGCGCAGAUAUCAGGAAGAACACCCGUGGCUAAGGCGGCUCUCUAGUACGGUACUGACGCUGAGACGCGAAAGCCGUGGGGAGCGAACAGG